GACGAACGCUGGCGGCGUGCCUAAUACAUGCAAGUAGAACGCUGAAGGAGGAGCUUGCUUCUCUGGAUGAGUUGCGAACGGGUGAGUAACGCGUAGGUAACCUGCCUGGUAGCGGGGGAUAACUAUUGGAAACGAUAGCUAAUACCGCAUAAGAGUAGAUGUUGCAUGACAUUUGCUUAAAAGGUGCAAUUGCAUCACUACCAGAUGGACCUGCGUUGUAUUAGCUAGUUGGUGAGGUAACGGCUCACCAAGGCAACGAUACAUAGCCGACCUGAGAGGGUGAUCGGCCACACUGGGACUGAGACACGGCCCAGACUCCUACGGGAGGCAGCAGUAGGGAAUCUUCGGCAAUGGACGGAAGUCUGACCGAGCAACGCCGCGUGAGUGAAGAAGGUUUUCGGAUCGUAAAGCUCUGUUGUAAGAGAAGAAUGAGUGUGAGAGUGGAAAGUUCACACUGUGACGGUAUCUUACCAGAAAGGGACGGCUAACUACGUGCCAGCAGCCGCGGUAAUACGUAGGUCCCGAGCGUUGUCCGGAUUUAUUGGGCGUAAAGCGAGCGCAGGCGGUUAGAUAAGUCUGAAGUUAAAGGCUGUGGCUUAACCAUAGUACGCUUUGGAAACUGUUUAACUUGAGUGCAAGAGGGGAGAGUGGAAUUCCAUGUGUAGCGGUGAAAUGCGUAGAUAUAUGGAGGAACACCGGUGGCGAAAGCGGCUCUCUGGCUUGUAACUGACGCUGAGGCUCGAAAGCGUGAGGAGCAAACAGG
rnacentral:rRNA from 1 species